rnacentral:rRNA from 1 species
AUUGAACGCUGGCGGCAUGCUUUACACAUGCAAGUCGAACGGCAGCGCGGGGCAACCUGGCGGCGAGUGGCGAACGGGUGAGUAAUACAUCGGAACGUACCCAGAAGUGGGGGAUAACGUAGCGAAAGUUACGCUAAUACCGCAUACGACCUAAGGGUGAAAGUGGGGGACCUUCGGGCCUCAUGCUUUUGGAGCGGCCGAUGUCUGAUUAGCUAGUUGGUGAGGUAAAGGCUCACCAAGGCGACGAUCAGUAGCUGGUCUGAGAGGACGACCAGCCACACUGGGACUGAGACACGGCCCAGACUCCUACGGGAGGCAGCAGUGGGGAAUUCUGGACAAUGGGGGCAACCCUGAUCCAGCAAUGCCGCGUGAGUGAAGAAGGCCUUCGGGUUGUAAAGCUCUUUGUCAGGGAAGAACGAUAUCCUCUAAUACAGGUGUUAAUGACGGUACCUGAAGAAUAAGCACCGGCUAACUACGUGCCAGCAGCCGCGGUAA